rnacentral:rRNA from 1 species
AUUGAACGCUGGCGGCAGGCCUAACACAUGCAAGUCGAACGGUAACAGGAAACAGCUUGCUGUUUCGCUGACGGGUGGCGGACGGGUGAGUAAUGUCUGGGAAACUGCCUGAUGGAGGGGGAUAACUACUGGAAACGGUAGCUAAUACCGCAUAACGUCGCAAGACCAAAGAGGGGGACCUUCGGGCCUCUUGCCAUCGGAUGUGCCCAGAUGGGAUUAGCUAGUAGGUGGGGUAACGGCUCACCUAGGCGACGAUCCCUAGCUGGUCUGAGAGGAUGACCAGCCACACUGGGACUGAGACACGGUCCAGACUCCUACGGGAGGCAGCAGUGGGGAAUAUUGCGCAAUGGGCGCAAGCCUGAUGCAGCCAUGUCGCGUGUAUGAAGAAGGCCUUCGGGUUGUAAAGUACUUUCAGCGGGGAGGAAGGGAGUAAAGUUAAUACCUUUGCUCAUUGACGUUACCCGCAGAAGAAGCACCGGCUAACUCCGUGCCAGCAGCCGCCGUAA